AGAAGCCAUGGGCCUGCUCUCAAAAUUCUUCCUUUUCAUGGCAAAAGCAAUGGGCUUUGUUGUCGGGACAAUGACAGUUUCCUACUGGCAUGAUUUGCAAACCUGGAUUUAGCUUUUCAAAGUGAAGGCCUCACAAAAAUCGAAGGAAUAAACACUGUCCCCUAAUGGACUCACACAUGCAAAUCUCACGUCUGGUGGUACAGCUAAAGCACGGAAGAGCACAGCCCCAGGCCAGGUCCUCAACAAGUUUUCCCUUCUCAUCAUACAACCUCUAUUUCUGGUCACACUGUGUCCCCAGAACCCUACCCUGCCUACUGAGAAGCUUGGCUGGUGAGGAGCAGGGCUGAUUUCUGUUUAGGCCCAGGAACAUCCAGACCCAGCACUGCCUACCUCUGGAUUAUCAGGUAAGACACACGAACCUGUAGAAGCAGCUUUCCG
rnacentral:lncRNA from 10 species